rnacentral:rRNA from 1 species
UACGUAGGGUGCAAGCGUUAAUCGGAAUUACUGGGCGUAAAGCGUGCGCAGGCGGUUAUAUAAGUCAGAUGUGAAAUCCCCGGGCUCAACCUGGGAACUGCCUUUGAGACUGUAUAGCUUGAGUACGGGAGAGGGGGAUGGAAUUUCGCGUGUAGCAGUGAAAUGCGUAGAUAUUCGGAGGAACACCGAUGGCGAAGGCAAUCCCCUGGACCUGUACUGACGCUCAUGCACGAAAGCGUGGGGAGCAAACAGGAGUAGAUACCCUGGUAGUCCACGCCCUAAACGAUGUCAACUGGUUGUUGGGUCUUAACUGACUCAGUAACGAAGCUAACGCGUUAAGUUGACCGCCUGGGGAGUACGGCCGCAAGGUUG